rnacentral:sRNA from 1 species
GGCCAGCUGCGUUCCGGGAUCAGCUACCAGACGGUCCCUGAGAUGACGGGGAACCGGGCUGGGGGAGGAUAGAGCCGAGACUGGAGGAUCGAUUGGCACCUCCGCCCACUUUUCCCACAACGCCUUCCCGAACGAUAGGUUGGAAAGGCUCCUGGAUCCAAACUCGCUGAGGGCCAGGAAACAAAAUGUCCUCAAAUUUAUUGCCAACACUGAAUUCUGGAGACCUCCUUAUUUUAUCAACUCAUUCCUCAUGAAGCAGUAAGAGCUAUGUCGGUGCUGUGGGAAACAGACAGAGGAGCUGUGACUUCUACCCAGGAGAUGUGGAGGCAAGGCUGUCUGCACUCUACUGUUAAAGCAAACUAAAUAUGGCCUGAGAAGGACUCCAUACUUCUAUAUUUGAGUCCUUGUGAACGAACUGCAACCUAACUUAAUAGGUAAAGUAAAAGAUGGCUCAACCAAAGAGGACAGG